UGACGGAGCAACGCCGCGUGAGUGAUGAAGGUUUUCGGAUCGUAAAGCUCUGUUGUUAGGGAAGAACAAGUGCCGUUCAAAUAGGGCGGCACCUUGACGGUACCUAACCAGAAAGCCACGGCUAACUACGUGCCAGCAGCCGCGGUAAUACGUAGGUGGCAAGCGUUGUCCGGAAUUAUUGGGCGUAAAGGGCUCGCAGGCGGUUUCUUAAGUCUGAUGUGAAAGCCCCCGGCUCAACCGGGGAGGGUCAUUGGAAACUGGGGAACUUGAGUGCAGAAGAGGAGAGUGGAAUUCCACGUGUAGCGGUGAAAUGCGUAGAGAUGUGGAGGAACACCAGUGGCGAAGGCGACUCUCUGGUCUGUAACUGACGCUGAGGAGCGAAAGCGUGGGGAGCGAACAGGAUUAGAUACCCUGGUAGUCCACGCCGUAAACGAUGAGUGCUAAGUGUUAGGGGGUUUCCGCCCCUUAGUGCUGCAGCUAACGCAUUAAGCACUCCGCCUGGGGAGUACGGUCGCAAGACUGAAACUCAAAGGAAUUGACGGGGGCCCGCACAAGCGGUGGAGCAUGUGGUUUAAUUCGAAGCAACGCGAAGAACCUUACCAGGUCUUGACAUCCUCUGACAAUCCUAGAGAUAGGACG
rnacentral:rRNA from 2 species